CAAAGAUAUUGUGCACCAGUCAUUCCAUAUUGUACAGAUUCUGAUUAGAGAAACUGUAUAUUCUUCGUGCUCCCUCAAGCCCCCACCCAGUGGCACUUAAAGCACUUAAGGGACUUUGAAUUUCAUCUACAACCCCGGAUGUUUGCGUGUCGGAUGUUUUGCUUGCUGACAGCGCUGACGAUGGCGAUUCUGAUCGCCCUUGAAUCAUCAUCGGCUCUGAUUGCCCCAACAAGCGACGUGAACCCCAUUUGCAAGACGACAGCGGAGACGCUGAUACCCUACCCCACUAAUUGUGCCAGGUACUACAACUGCAGCGCUCCGCCUCAAUAUCGCCGACUUCUCCUUCAUUGAAAA